rnacentral:tRNA from 1 species
GGGCGGGUGGCGAAAUUGGCAGACGCGCCAGACUUAGGAUCUGGUGGGGCAACCCUUGGAGGUUCAAGUCCUCUUCCGCCCA